rnacentral:rRNA from 1 species
UUGAACGCUGGCGGCAGGCCUAACACAUGCAAGUCGAACGGUAACAGGAAGCAGCUUGCUGCUUCGCUGACGAGUGGCGGACGGGUGAGUAAUGUCUGGGAAGCUGCCUGAUGGAGUGGGAUAACUACUGGAAACGGUAGCUAAUACCGCAUAAUGUCGCAAGACCAAAGAGGGGGACCUUCGGGCCUCUUGCCAUCGGAUGUGCCCAGAUGGGAUUAGCUUGUUGGUGGGGUAACGGCUCACCAAGGCGACGAUCCCUAGCUGGUCUGAGAGGAUGACCAGCCACACUGGAACUGAGACACGGUCCAGACUCCUACGGGAGGCAGCAGUGGGGAAUAUUGCACAAUGGGCGCAAGCCUGAUGCAGCCAUGCCGCGUGUAUGAAGAAGGCCUUCGGGUUGUAAAGUACUUUCAGCGGGGAGGAAGGGAGUAAAGUUAAUACCUUUGCUCAUUGACGUUACCCGCAGAAGAAGCACCGGCUAACUCCGUG